rnacentral:lncRNA from 1 species
CAGUAUUGCAGGCUUGUUUCUCAUCAAAUAACAACAAUGAAGCAACUCAGUUCAUCUGAAUUUGAUUCCAUUCACAGAAAAAGGCCACGUUCUGAAAUAAAUCCACCCCUCCCUGACUCCUGCAGAGGUGAAGACACAGAUAAUAAUAAAACUAGAGAGAGUGGAGACAUGAGCUUUAAACAACAAAAUUCUCAAAGGACAUAAUACAACAAAGACAAGCUGCUACGACACUGGGAGGACCAAGGCAACCUGGGAAAACAGGAUCCUAUGUUGGGUCUCAAUCCGUCAUGGAUCUCAGUAGAUUCCAGGGAUAAUCCUGUAUCGAACCUUUUCACAGUAUUUUUUCCAGUAUUUCCCGUACCUGCAAGCAGCUUCAUGUCAAAUUUUCAUGCAGAGUUAAGAAAUGAAUUCGAAGAUGAGUUCUCUUUUUUUUAUAAGACAAUCCAAGAUUCUACAUAAGCCAUGUUUCUCAUAUGCGAAAACAAUUAACUGCAUUAAAGGUGGUGCAUGCUUGUGUAUUGCAUACUAAGAUUUUUACCCUAUGCUCCAUUUGUUCGAAAAAUUGAGAAAAUAAAAGGUGAAAAGAAAAUAAAAAUAGAUUUAAAAUAAAUAAUUAUUUUUAUAUACAUUAAGAUUAAGGUUAUGUUUGGUUCCGAAAAAAUAUUAAGGAAAGAAAAAAAAAAUUAUUGUUUAUGUUAGCUUCAUCAUAGAAAAUAUGAAAGAAUAUCAAAUAUAAUUAAAAUUAGUUAAAAAUUUAUACAUUUUAAAAUUGUUUAAUCCUUACAUAAAAGAAGAAAAAUAAGUUAAAUGUGUUUGAAAUAGCAUAUAAAAAUAAUUUAUUGAAUUUAAAUCUAUUUUUUAUCUUCCUUCACUUUUUAUUUUUUUUCCUUUUCAUUUUCUUUCCCUUGCAUUUUCCCCCAAAUUUUCCAAGAACCAAACAUAGCCUAAACUUAUUUCACUUAUUUCAUAUAUUCUCUAUAGAAAUUAAAUAAUUUAAAAAUAUAUAGGUUUCUAACUUAUUUUAACUAUAUUUAAGUUUUCUUCUAUACUUUUUACUUUUUAUGGCAAACCAAAAAUGAGAAAAUAAUUUCCUUUAAUAUUUUUUGGGAACCAAAUAUGGUGUGAAUAUAAUGGUCGAAAGAAAAGACGGUUUAGGUAACUGAUGGAGGCUGUGUUUGCUUACUUGGACCGACAUCGAUCAUCAUCCCUUUUGGCUCGGUCAAAAAGAAGGAUAGUAAGGAACAGCACGU